rnacentral:rRNA from 1 species
UACGUAGGUGGCAAGCGUUGUCCGGAUUUACUGGGUGUAAAGGGCGUGUAGCCGGGCUUACAAGUCAGAUGUGAAAUCCGGGGGCUCAACCCCCGAACUGCAUUUGAAACUGUAGGUCUUGAGUAUCGGAGAGGCAGGCGGAAUUCCUAGUGUAGCGGUGAAAUGCGUAGAUAUUAGGAGGAACACCAGUGGCGAAGGCGGCCUGCUGGACGACAACUGACGGUGAGGCGCGAAAGCGUGGGAAGCAAACAGG